CACCGCUCCUGGAGCGAUUGUUUCAAUGUUGCUUGCUCGGAAUGGCCCUCCUGAGCAAACAACAGACGGUGCUCAAAGUAACAACUGGACUUAAUAAAAGGAGCUUACACGAAGGAGGAGCUGAAGGCUGCUGUGGUCGUGUGCUGGGGGCUGCCCCAGCUCCAGCUGCAGGACCCCGGCCGUCUGCCUUCCGACUCCGGUGAUGAUUCUUCCUGCGGUCUGAUCAAGAUUCUAUGCAGUUAACUUUGUAUCCAAGGAUCUAUAGCCAAGAAAUUUGGAGCUCAGUUUCAAACGCCAAAGGAAAUUGUAGUGGGAAAUUCCAAGGGUAGCAGAGUUAUGCAAAGUCACAGAAAAAAGAAAUAAUAGCAGAAAAUAUGAAGCAUCUGCAUCAGGCGUUUUUAAGUACAUCCUGAAAAUUCAGAGAGGUCUACGCUUAAUCACAU
rnacentral:lncRNA from 1 species